rnacentral:misc_RNA from 1 species
UCAUCAACCCUGUGACAUACCUAUAACGUUGCCUCGGCGGGAACAGACGGCCCCGUAACACGGGCCGCCCCCGCCAGAGGACCCCCUAACUCUGUUUCUAUAAUGUUUCUUCUGAGUAAACAAGCAAAUAAAUUAAAACUUUCAACAACGGAUCUCUUGGCUCUGGCAUCGAUGAAGAACGCAGCA